UACCAGCUCUCCGAGUGGUAGGGAUGUUUAUUGGGCUUAAAGCGUCCGUAGCCGGCUUAGCAAGUCUCCUGUUAAAUUCAGCGACCUAAUCGUUGAGCCGCGGGAGAUACUACUAGGCUAGGAGGCGGGAGAGGCCGACGGUAUUCUCGGGGUAGGGGUGAAAUCCUAUAAUCCCGGGAGGACCACCAGUGGCGAAGGCUGUCGGCUAGAACGCGCUCGACGGUGAGGGACGAAAGCUGGGGGAGCGAACCGGAUUAGAUACCCGGGUAGUCCCAGCUGUAAACGAUGCGGGCUAGGUGUUGGGGUGGCUACGAGCCACUUCAGUGCCGCAGGGAAGCCAUUAAGCCCGCCGCCUGGGGAGUACGGCCGCAAGGCUGAAACUUAAAGGAAUUGGCGGGGGAGCACCACAAGGGGUGAAGCUUGCGGUUU
rnacentral:rRNA from 1 species